AUUGAACGCUGGCGGCAGGCUUAACACAUGCAAGUCGAGCGGGGUGAUGGUGCUUGCACUAUCACUUAGCGGCGGACGGGUGAGUAAUGCUUAGGAAUCUGCCUAUUAGUGGGGGACAACAUCUCGAAAGGGAUGCUAAUACCGCAUACGUCCUACGGGGGAAAGCUGGGGAUCUUCGGACCUAGCGCUAUCAGAUGAGCCUGCGUCGGAUUAGCUAGUUGGCGGGGUAAAGGCCCACCAAGGCGACGAUCCGUAACUGGUCUGAGAGGAUGAUCAGUCACACCGGAACUGAGACACGGUCCGGACUCCUACGGGAGGCAGCAGUGGGGAAUAUUGGACAAUGGGGGCAACCCUGAUCCAGCCAUGCCGCGUGUGUGAAGAAGGCCUUCGGGUUGUAAAGCACUUUAGGUCGGGAGGAAGGUUCGCUGGCUAAUAUCCAGCGGAAUUGACGUUACCGACAGAAUAAGCACCGGCUAACUCCGUGCCAGCCGCCGCUGUAA
rnacentral:rRNA from 1 species